AUCCAACUGACGAGUCCCGGAAUAGGACGAAACGCUUGUCAAACUGUAU
rnacentral:hammerhead_ribozyme from 1 species